rnacentral:rRNA from 1 species
AAUGAACGCUGGCGGCGCGCCUAAUACAUGCAAGUCGAGCGAGAAGACGUAGCAAUACGUUUGUAAAGCGGCGAACGGGUGAGGAAUACAUGGGUAACCUACCCUCGAGUGGGAAUAACUAGCCGAAAGGUUAGCUAAUACCGCGUACGCUUCUUGGACUUCGGUUCAGGGAGGAAAGCGAUGCCGAGGGUAUCGCGCUCUUGGAUGGGCUCAUGUCCUAUCAGCUUGNGGUUGAGGUAACGGCUCACCAAGGCUUCGACGGGUAGCUGGUCUGAGAGGACGAUCAGCCACACUGGCACUGCGACACGGGCCAGACUCCUACGGGGAGGCAGCAGUAAGGAAUAUUGCGCAAUGGGCGAAAGCCUGACGCAGCGACGCCGCGUGGGGGA